AACGGUAACAUGAGUGCUUGCACUUGAUGACGAGUGGCGGACGGGUGAGUAAAGUAUGGGGAUCUGCCGAAUGAGGGGGACAACAGUUGGAAACGACUGCUAAUACCGCAUAAAGUUGAGAGACCAAAGCAUGGGACCUUCGGGCCAUGCGCCAUUUGAUGAACCCAUAUGGGAUUAGCUAGUUGGUAGGGUAAAGGCUUACCAAGGCGACGAUCUCUAGCUGGUCUGAGAGGAUGACCAGCCACACUGGAACUGAGACACGGUCCAGACUCCUACGGGAGGCAGCAGUGGGGAAUAUUGCACAAUGGGGGGAACCCUGAUGCAGCCAUGCCGCGUGUAUGAAGAAGGCCUUCGGGUUGUAAAGUACUUUCAGCGAGGAGGAAGGCAUUGUGGUUAAUAACCACAGUGAUUGACGUUACUCGCAGAAGAAGCACCGGCUAACUCCGUG
rnacentral:rRNA from 1 species